GGAUUAGAUACCCGGGUAGUCCACGCUGUAAACGAUGUCGACUUGGAGGUUGCGGCCUAGAGCUGUGGUUUCCGGAGCUAACGUGUUAAGUCGACCGCCUGGGGAGUACGGCCGCAAGGUUAAAACUCAAAUGAAUUGACGGGGGCCCGCACAAGCGGUGGAGCAUGCGGUUUAAUUCGAUGCAACGCGAAGAACCUUACCUACUCUUGACAUCCAGAGAAGAUUGUAGAGAUACGAUUGUGCCUUCGGGAGCUCUGAGACAGGUGCUGCAUGGCUGUCGUCAGCUCGUGUUGUGAAAUGUUGGGUUAAGUCCCG
rnacentral:rRNA from 1 species